rnacentral:rRNA from 1 species
GACGAACGCUGGCGGCGUGCCUAAUACAUGCAAGUAGAACGCUGAAGGAGGAGCUUGCUUCUCCGGAUGAGUUGCGAACGGGUGAGUAACGCGUAGGUAACCUGCCUGGUAGCGGGGGAUAACUAUUGGAAACGAUAGCUAAUACCGCAUAACAGUAGAUGUUGCAUGACAUUUGCUUAAAAGGUGCAAUUGCAUCACUACCAGAUGGACCUGCGUUGUAUUAGCUAGUUGGUGAGGUAACGGCUCACCAAGGCGACGAUACAUAGCCGACCUGAGAGGGUGAUCGGCCAAACUGGGAAUGAGACAAGGCCCAGACUCCUACGGGAGGCAGCAGUAGGGAAUCUUCGGCAAUGGACGGAAGUCUGAACGAGCAACGCCGCGUGAGUGAAGAAGGUUUUCGGAUCGUAAAGCUCUGUUGUAAGAGAAGAACGAGUGUGAGAGUGGAAAGUUCACACUGUGACGGUAUCUUACCAGAAAGGGACGGCUAACUACGUG